GAUGAAGAACGUAGCGAAAUGCGAUAAUUAAUGUGAAUUGCAGAAUUUAGUGAAUCAUCGAAUCUUUGAACGCACAUUGCGCCCCUUGGUAUUCCGGGGGGCAUGCCUGUUCGAGCGUCAAUUCAACCCUCAAGCUCUGCUUGGUCUUGGGCCGCGCCGGCAACGGCGGGCCUCAAAAACGGUGGCGGCGCCAUCUGGUCCCUCAGCGUAGUAAUUCUUCUCGCUGCUGGGCCCCGGUGGCCGCUUGCCAGCAACCCCAAACUUUCUAUGGUUGACCUCGGAUCAGGUAGGGAUACCCGCUGAACUUAAGCAUAUCAAUAAGCGGAGGA
rnacentral:misc_RNA from 1 species